UAGGGAAUCUUCCACAAAUGGGCGCAAGCCUGAUGGAGCAACACCGCGUGAGUGAAGAAGGGUUUCGGCUCGUAAAGCUCUGUUGUUAAAGAAGAACACGUAUGAGAGUAACCUGUUCAUACGUUGACGGUAUUUAACCAGAAAGUCACGGCUAACUACGUGCCAC
rnacentral:rRNA from 1 species